rnacentral:rRNA from 1 species
GACGAACGCUGGCGGCGUGCUUAACACAUGCAAGUCGAGCGGUAAGGCCCUUUCGGGGGUACGACGAGCGGCGAACGGGUGAGUAACACGUGGGUGACCUGCCCUCCAGCUCUGGGAGUAAGCCUGGGAAACCGGAAGUCUAAUACUGGAUAUGACUCCAUGACGCAUGUUGUGGGGUGGAAAGCCUUGUGCGGCUGAGGAUGGGCCCGGCGGCCUAUCAGCUUGUUGGUGGGGUGAUGGCCUACCAAGGCGACGA